GUCCCGAUGGUGUAACGGACAGCACGAGACGCUGCGAAGGUCUUGGUCCUGGUUCGACUCCAGGUCGGGGUA
rnacentral:tRNA from 1 species